GUCUCUUCGGGGAUGAUUAAACCGGCGCACGGGUGAGUAACACGUGAGUGACCUGCCUUUUAGACUGGAACAACUUACCGAAAGGUGAGCUAAUGCCGGAUGAGUUAUAUAAGUGCAUGUUUAUAUAGGAAAAGUUGGGGAGACCUGACGCUGAAAGAUGGACUCGCGUCCCAUUAGCUAGUUGGUAGGGUAAUGGCCUACCAAGGCGACGAUGGGUAGCCGGCCUGAGAGGGUGGCCGGCCACACUGGGACUGAGACACGGCCCAGACUCCUACGGGAGGCAGCAGUGGGGAAUUUUGCGCAAUGCUCGUAAGAGUGACGCAGCGACGCCGCGUGAAUGACGAAGGCCUUCGGGUCGUAAAGUUCUUUCGACAGGGAAGAAAAUGCCUAUAAGUAACUGUGUAUGUAUUGACGGUACCUGUAUAAGCAGCCCCGGCUAACUCCGUGCCAGCAGCCGCGGUAAUACGGAGGGGGCGAGCGUUGUUCGGAGUGACUGGGCGUAAAGAGCACGUAGGCGGUGUUGUAAGUCAUUAGUCAAAGACUAGAGCUCAACUUUAGUAAGGCUAGUGAUACUAUAAUACUAGAGUAUCAGAGAGGAUUGCAGAAUUCCUGGUGUAGCGGUGAAAUGCGUAGAUAUCAGGAGGAAUACCGUUAGCGAAGGCGGCAAUCUGGCUGGAAACUGACGCUGAGGCGCGAAAGCGUGGGUAGCAAACAGGAUUAGAUACCCUGGUAGUCCACGCUGUAAGCG
rnacentral:rRNA from 1 species